rnacentral:rRNA from 1 species
GACGAACGCUGGCGGCGUGCUUAACACAUGCAAGUCGAACGGAAAGGCCCUGCUUUUGUGGGGUGCUCGAGUGGCGAACGGGUGAGUAACACGUGAGUAACCUGCCCUUGACUUUGGGAUAACUUCAGGAAACUGGGGCUAAUACCGGAUAGGAGCUCCUGCUGCAUGGUGGGGGUUGGAAAGUUUCGGCGGUUGGGGAUGGACUCGCGGCUUAUCAGCUUGUUGGUGGGGUAGUGGCUUACCAAGGCUUUGACGGGUAGCCGGCCUGAGAGGGUGACCGGCCACAUUGGGACUGAGAGACGGACCAGACUCCUACAGGAGGCAGCAGUGGGGAAUAUUGCACAAUGGGCGGAAGCCUGAUGCAGCAACGCCGCGUGCGGGAUGACGGCCUUCGGGUUGUAAACCGCUUUCGCCUGUGACGAAGCGUGAGUGACGGUAAUGGGUAAAGAAGCACCGGCUAACUACGUG